rnacentral:rRNA from 1 species
AUUGAACGCUGGCGGCAGGCCUAACACAUGCAAGUCGAGCGGGGUUUUCGGACCUAGCGGCGGACGGGUGAGUAAUGCGUAGGAAGCUACCCGAUAGAGGGGGAUACCAGUUGGAAACGGCUGUUAAUACCGCAUAAUGUCUACGGACCAAAGUGUGGGACCUUCGGGCCACAUGCUAUCGGAUGCGCCUACGUGGGAUUAGCUAGUUGGUGAGGUAAUGGCUCACCAAGGCGACGAUCCCUAGCUGGUUUGAGAGGAUGAUCAGCCACACUGGAACUGAGACACGGUCCAGACUCCUACGGGAGGCAGCAGUGGGGAAUAUUGGACAAUGGGCGCAAGCCUGAUCCAGCCAUGCCGUGUGAAGAAGGCCUUCGGGUUGUAAAGCACUUUCAGUAGGGAGGAAGCGUUGUGUGUUAAUAGUACACAGCGUUGACGUUACCUACAGAAGAAGCACCGGCUAACUCUGUGCCAGCCGCCGCCGUAACAC